rnacentral:tRNA from 1 species
GGGCCUAUAGAGGCAAUGGUUAACCUCACCUGCCUUGACAUCAGGAAAUGCGGGUUCGAUUCCCGCUAGGUCCA